CCUACGGGUGGCUGCAGUGAGGAAUAUUGGUCAAUGGUCGGGAGACUGAACCAGCCAAGUCGCGUGAGGGAGGAAGGUACAGUGUAUCGUAAACCUCUUUUGUCAGGGAACAAAGACUGGGACGCGUCCCCGGAUGAGUGUACCUGAAGAAAAAGCAUCGGCUAACUCCGUGCCAGCAGCCGCGGUAAUACGGAGGGUGCGAGCGUUAUCCGGAUUUAUUGGGUUUAAGGGGGGGGCAGGCGGGUUGUUAAGUCAGCUGUUAAACCCCGGGGCUUAAACCCGGCCCGGCCGUUGAAACUGUCAGUCUCGAGUUCGAGAGAAGUAUGCGGAAUGCGCGGUGUAGCGGUGAAAUGCAUAGAUAUCGCGCAGAACUCCGAUGGCGAAGGCAGCAUGCCGGCUACACACUGACGCUGAGGCACGAAAGCGUGGGUAUCGAACAGGAUUAGAUACCCUUGUAGUC
rnacentral:rRNA from 1 species